GCCUCCUGAGCCCAGAACUGCUUGUUAACCCUUUGCCGUCCAGUGAGAGGUUUGUACACCCCGUCACAGGAAUCCCCUGACUCCUCUGAGGUGAGGCCCAUGCUGUAAUCAGGGCUGGUUUAGCCCCUGGCUCUCAAGCCACCUUGUUACAAGCACACGUCCCAAACUGAAAAUGCCACCAACGUGUAUAGAGCUGGACACACAAGACAGAGUUAUCAGCACAAGCACAUUGCUGCAGGAAUUGGAGCCAGGCAGGCAAGCCAGCA